GUCUACGGUCAUGCCACCCUGAACAAGCCCUAUGUCUGAUCUCAGAAGCUAAACAGGGUCAGGCCUGGUUAGUACUUGGAUGGGAGACCACCUAGGAAGACCAGGUGCCAUUGGCA
rnacentral:rRNA from 1 species